GUGCUUGCUUCAGCAGUACAUAUACUGGAACUGGAUUGAUAACAGAAAACUUUAGCAUGACCCCUGUGCAAGUAUGACACCCAAAUUCGUGAAGCACUAAAAUAAUAA
ensembl:snRNA U6 U6 spliceosomal RNA